AACAGUAAAAGGCAAACCAUUUGAAAAUUUGGGACGCAAAGCUAUCAGGUCUAAGGCAUAGAGAGAAAGAAUGCUAUGACGGCUGGGCCGCCUGA
rnacentral:ncRNA from 1 species